UACGGAGGGUGCAAGCGUUAAUCGGAAUUACUGGGCGUAAAGCGUACGCAGGCGGUCUGUCAAGUCGGAUGUGAAAUCCCCGGGCUCAACCCGGGAAGUGCAUUCGAAACUGGAAGACUAGAGUCUUGUAGAGGGUGGUAGAAUUCCAGGUGUAGCGGUGAAAUGCGUAGAGAUCAGGAGGAAUACCGGUGGCGAAGGCGGCCCCCUGGACAAAGACUGACGCUGAGGGGCGAAAGCGUGGGGAGCAAACAGG
rnacentral:rRNA from 1 species